UUAAUUGAUUACUUUAAAAUGCAUUUUGCGGUUUCCUUAAAUGAAAAUCUUAGAACUAAUUCUGGGGGACUUAAAGGGCACCCGAUUCAGAGAACCACCCUACUACUCAGAUGGGCCUCUCUAUUCGCUGUCUUUUUACACGUGACUUUUGCUACACUUCUACGGCAGCAGAGAUCAGCAAAUGCAUGUUGCGAUUUGCAAAUGUGUGUGGAGAUUUGUAGCACGCAUUGAUUUUACGCAUGACAUUGAUUUGCUGGUAACGUUGUGGUUUAAGGAAUGCCAUUUAAGUCUAUACGAAAUAAAUAUGUCUCCCAGAAAAGCUUCUCAGAAUUAUUGAGGCUGCCAACCGCCUCGACAGGACCUGGCUUGCACAUCCUUUUGAUUCAGAGAUAGGUGUACCAGGAUAAGUGUGAAGAACCGGUGACCACUAACUGUUGAUUAUCCUGUAGCUGGUCUAUACACCGUUGAAGGUGUGACAGGCAAUAAUGUCCAGUUGCCUAACCACCAACCCUUCUCUAUAAGGUAUGGAGGCUGACCAUGUCAGCUUGGUUUACACAAAAUGUAUGUACUGCUUUUAUUAUAAAUGUUGCCUUGUGGGAGAGAUCAGGAUAUCAAGCCAGACUACAAUUUAUCUUACUACAGGUGUGUUUGUAAGGCAUAAGUAAAAAAAGGGCAUUGACUUGGAUUAUCCUUGAGCUAUAACUAUAUAAUCUAUAUUUAGUUGAAUAUUAGUGAUAAUGAUAAGCAUGGCAUAUUGUAGUUCUGUCUGUAUGUCUAUGGAAGUUCUCUGCAUCCCACUGCUGGCUUGUGCCUCUGAAGCUAAGCAAGGUCAUGCCUGGUCGGUCCUGGGGUGGGAGACCUGUUGCUUAAGUUUCCUGCACAGGGAGCUGUUAUUUGGAUUGGAUGGUAAAUGGGUACCCAGACUGUUUUGUGGUCUCCAUAGGUCCAAUGUCACUGUAAGAGAAGGGGUGUUUACCAGUGUGAUGGCAAUAUGUAACAUCAUAACAGCAUGGCUACCUAACCAUCCCCAGCUUCCAAUUGGUUGGACUUCUCUCCUUCUCCUGUAACUAUUUCCCAGAGCUCUGAUGUUGCAGUCUACCAAAGGACAGACAAGGCCCAUUGCAACGGUUAACUGCCUGGAGCCCCACCCGCUGUCCCCAAUUCUGGCCACCAGGGUUCUGGAUCACAAUGUUCCACCGUGGGUCCUGACUACUGAGAACACUACCGGGCUAAACAUGUUCAAAGACAUAUGCCACUUGUCCUUCUACUAAUACCAAACAUGCAUCUGUGUAUUCAAAUAUUCCAUAAUAUUACUUGGAUACUGCAUACCACAUAGUCUCCAAUUCUCCCCCAAUCUCAAUCCUUAGUUUUUAUGCUGCAAGUGUUUGUGCCAGGGGACAAGGGUCAGUCUGAUGUAUCCUUUUGGAGGAAUGCCCCUGCUAAUUACUGUUGUGUCCUGUUGAAUCUUAAGAUAACUUAAGUCCUUGGACUGUGUUUUAGGAUUACCUGGCCUGAUGUCUCCUAGUUGUCCCUGCUCAAAGUCCACCUGGUUGUGUUGCAGAUCUACAGUGAUGAUGGGCCGCCUGGUCACCCAUCUUUGUCCACCUGGAUGUGCAGCUGAUCUGGAUUCUGCCUAAAGACUCAGCCCAUCUGUAUUUACUGACCUACCAGUAAUUGGAAUAUGCUAAAAUAUUGGACCAAAAAGGUCAUGUAUUCUUAUUUUCCCCAGAACAGCCGAAGAGGAGCCCUCAAACUCUGUCUACUCUCUAUGUUUCUUAGGUUCCGUUCCCACUAGUGCCAAUGCAAAAAGUGUUCUAUAAAAUGAAUUUGAUGAACAGAUAACACCAGUGGGUGAGUGGAACAAUUUAUAACCCACCCAACAUAAAGUCUGUAUUCCAGGAAAUAAAUCCUCCUGCUCUGAUUCGUAUGGAACACUGAUACAACCUUACAGCAUGAAUAUUUACAGAUGACAAAGGAGAACCACUAGACAAUACACAGAAACUACAGCAAUCAGUGUUGAAUUGUCAAUGAGUGCUGACAAUCUUUCAAGCAGUAGAUUAACACAACUUACUAGGAAUGGAAUUUUUCCAUUCCAGCAUGACCCUCAACAACCAGUAAAAUGUUUUAUGUUCUAGUCCAUUUUUUUUUAUACAUAUAUGAGAAUCACAUGAAUGCCUGGACCUGUAUAGCACAUUAUUUUAUUUUUUUAUUUUUUCCUUUACAUUUUUACAUCACCAACAUUGUCAGACUGUGGCAGAACAGUUAAAACUCACCAGUUUAAAUCCUGCCUCGGUCUGAAAUAAAAUGUAUUAAAGACUAGCACUUUAAUACAUUUAAAGACUAAUGUGAAAUGUAUUAUUUACAUGGGUGAUGAAAUAAAGAUUCAAAUUUGUUAACUCUAUCUCCUGAUUAGUACUAUAGAAUUAUAAACUGAGUUGUUCAAACACUAAAUGUUGAUUAGCUAUAAAAUCUGGUACAAGUUUAUAACGCAGGACGUUUCAGGUGAAUGGCUGAUGUACAAUGUGAAGAACUGUAUCUAGGCAUUCACAUCAUGCCAAAGAACAGACCUUAGUUGUCGUAUAUUG